rnacentral:misc_RNA from 1 species
AAACUGCGAUACGUAGUGUGAAUUGCAGAAUUCAGUGAAUCAUCGAAUCUUUGAACGCAAAUUGCGCUGUUGGGCUAUUCCCGACAGCAUGCUUGGCUGAGUAUCAUCUGGACAAAUCGAAUCAUGUCUUUUUUCGAUGUGGUUCGGAUAUGAGGUUGUCGCAAUCAGUAAUAUGAAGGCGUCCCUUCAAGUCUAGUAGUAUUGGCAUGCAAAUUGCUAAUUUCAAUAUGCAAAUCAUGUCUUUUGCCGUUCAGUGUGUUAAGUGUUAUAUUUAAUACAACACAUGAGCACUGAUGACAACGGUAAUAAUGUGCAUUUUUUGUGAAAAGCAAAAUUUUGAUCUCAGCUCAAGCAAGACUACCCGCUGAAUUUAA